AGAGUUUGAUCCUGGCUCAGGAUGAACGCUGGCGGCGUGCUUAACACAUGCAAGUCGAACGAAGAUGCCGGAGUGCUUGCACUUUGGCAGACUGAGUGGCGGACGGGUGAGUAACGCGUGGGUAACCUGCCUUAUACAGGGGGAUAACAGUUGGAAACGACUGCUAAUACCGCAUAAGCGCACGGUAUCGCAUGAUACAGUGUGAAAAACUCCGGUGGUAUAAGAUGGACCCGCGUCUGAUUAGCUUGUUGGUGAGGUAACGGCCCACCAAGGCGACGAUCAGUAGCCGGCCUGAGAGGGUGAACGGCCACAUUGGGACUGAGACACGGCCCAAACUCCUACGGGAGGCAGCAGUGGGGAAUAUUGCACAAUGGGGGAAACCCUGAUGCAGCGACGCCGCGUGAGUGAAGAAGUAUUUCGGUAUGUAAAGCUCUAUCAGCAGGGAAGAAAAUGACGGUACCUGACUAAGAAGCACCGGCUAAAUACGUGCCAGCAGCCGCGGUAAUACGUAUGGUGCAAGCGUUAUCCGGAUUUACUGGGUGUAAAGGGAGCGCAGGCGGUGCGGCAAGUCUGAUGUGAAAGCCCGGGGCUCAACCCCGGUACUGCAUUGGAAACUGUCGUACUAGAGUGUCGGAGGGGUAAGCGGAAUUCCUAGUGUAGCGGUGAAAUGCGUAGAUAUUAGGAGGAACACCAGUGGCGAAGGCGGCUUACUGGACGGUAACUGACGUUGAGGCUCGAAAGCGUGGGGAGCAAACAGGAUUAGAUACCCUGGUAGUCCACGCCGUAAACG
rnacentral:rRNA from 1 species